CUAACACUACUUUGAAAAAAACCGCUCACUUACUGCCUUUGAUUUGAAUGCGCUGUCUUUAACUCCCCAUAACUCCUUCAUAUAAACUCCAAAUGCAAAAUUUCCUUCGCAAAAGAUGUAUGGCUUGAAGUUGCCCUUCCAGCCGCUCCUUCCGAUCUCCAAAAGCUUCCGUAAGACUCCUCUUAAACUCAAAAGAGUAACAGUAGG
rnacentral:lncRNA from 1 species